rfam:Picea glauca, whole genome shotgun sequence.
ACAUGCCUACAACAUAGUGUUAAUGCAUAAGAUCUCAUUAGAACUCUGUAGUUAAGUGUGCUCAGGAUAUAGUAGUACUGGGAUGAGUGACUUCCUGGGAAGUCCUAGCAUUUUACAUGCC